rnacentral:rRNA from 1 species
CGAAAGCGACGUUCAACCGCAAAAGAAGCAGAGGGGGCUUAGUGGUGGGGUGACUGCGUACCUUUUGUAUAAUGGGUCAGCGACUUAUAUUCUGUAGCAAGGUUAACCGUAUAGGGGAGCCGGAGGGAAACCGAGUCUUAAUUGGGCGUUAAGUUGCAGGGUAUAGACCCGAAACCCGGUGAUCUAGCCAUGGGCAGGUUGAAGGUUGGGUAACACUAACUGGAGGACCGAACCGACUAAUGUUGAAAAAUUAGCGGAUGACCUGUGGCUGGGGGUGAAAGGCCAAUCAAACCGGGAGAUAGCUGGUUCUCCCCGAAAGCUAUUUAGGUAGCGCCUCGUGAAUUCAUCUCCGGGGGUAGAGCACUGUUUCGGCUAGGGGGCCAUCCCGGCUUACCAACCCGAUGCAAACUGCGAAUACCGGAGAAUGUUAUCACGGGAGACACACGGCGGGUGCUAACGUCCGUCGUGAAGAGGGAAACAACCCAGACCGCCAGCUAAGGUCCCAAAGUCAUGGUUAAGUGGGAAACGAUGUGGGAAGGCCCAGACAGCCAGGAUGUUGGCUUAGAAGCAGCCAUCAUUUAAAGAAAGCGUAAUAGCUCACUGGUCGAGUCGGCCUGCGCGGAAGAUGUAACGGGGCUAAACCAUGCACCGAAGCUGCGGCAGCGAACGUAUCACCCAAGACAACUUUACGGAGUUGACGAUUGACGGAGCGAAGCGACGUCAAAGCGUUCAUUAAAGUCGAGUUGGCUUAGGGAUACGUUCGUUGGGUAGGGGAGCGUUCUGUAAGCCUGUGAAGGUGGCCUGUGAGGGUUGCUGGAGGUAUCAGAAGUGCGAAUGCUGACAUAAGUAACGAUAAAGCGGGUGAAAAGCCCGCUCGCCGGAAGACCAAGGGUUCCUGUCCAACGUUAAUCGGGGCAGGGUGAGUCGACCCCUAAGGCGAGGCCGAAAGGCGUAGUCGAUGGGAAACGGGUUAAUAUUCCCGUACUUGGUGUUACUGCGAAGGGGGGACGGAGAAGGCUAUGUUGGCCGGGCGACGGUUGUCCCGGUUUAAGCGUGUAGGUGUGUGUUCCAGGUAAAUCCGGUUCACUUUAACACUGAGGCGUGAUGACGAGGCACUACGGUGCUGAAGCAACAAAUGCCCUGCUUCCAGGAAAAGCCUCUAAGCAUCAGGUAACAUCAAAUCGUACCCCAAACCGACACAGGUGGUCAGGUAGAGAAUACCAAGGCGCUUGAGAGAACUCGGGUGAAGGAACUAGGCAAAAUGGUGCCGUAACUUCGGGAGAAGGCACGCUGACACGUAGGUGAAGUGAUUUACUCAUGGAGCUGAAGUCAGUCGAAGAUACCAGCUGGCUGCAACUGUUUAUUAAAAACACAGCACUGUGCAAACACGAAAGUGGACGUAUACGGUGUGACGCCUGCCCGGUGCCGGAAGGUUAAUUGAUGGGGUCAGCGCAAGCGAAGCUCCUGAUCGAAGCCCCGGUAAACGGCGGCCGUAACUAUAACGGUCCUAAGGUAGCGAAAUUCCUUGUCGGGUAAGUUCCGACCUGCACGAAUGGCGUAAUGAUGGCCAGGCUGUCUCCACCCGAGACUCAGUGAAAUUGAACUCGCUGUGAAGAUGCAGUGUACCCGCGGCAAGACGGAAAGACCCCGUGAACCUUUACUAUAGCUUGACACUGAACAUUGAGCCUUGAUGUGUAGGAUAGGUGGGAGGCUUUGAAGUGUGGACGCCAGUCUGCAUGGAGCCGACCUUGAAAUACCACCCUUUAAUGUUU